GCGGCCGUGGCGAAAUGGUAGACGCGCUACUUUGAGGUGGUAGUGGGGCAACCCGUGGAAGUUCAAAUCUUCUCGGCCGCACCA
rnacentral:tRNA from 1 species